GUAAGCAUUCUUUUCAAUCCAUCUUAAACUUUUGGUUUUUAGUAUAUUAGUAAUUUAGAGGGUUCCUUUUCUUCUUUUACAUAUGUAACCUGUCAAUUGGCAUUUGGUAUGACAUAGUGGAGUACAAUACAAAGCUCCUAGUUGUUUCUUGUUGAUUCUUUUAUAUGCUGAUGUGAGUAAUUUGCCUUUGGAAUCUGACUCAUGUCUGCUUAAUGUUGUAUGUAUUCAUGCAGCCGUACCCAUAUUUGCACAUUCGCAACAAGGAGUUCCCAUGGGGUAUGUAUAAAUGAACUGUUAAUUUUCUGGCUUUGUUCUGUCCCAAAAAAAAAAUGAAGAAUACUUUGCUUUCUUAAAAUUCUUAUUGUGUUUUUGACGUUUUAUCACUUGAUAGAGGCAGAGCUUAUUGAUUAUUUAUUAAGUUCAGUGUGUAUGCCAUCUUGUUGUAAGUUGUCAAACUCCGCACCUAUUUUGUGUGUCUCUAGUUGCAUCUUGUGUAGUAAGGCGCUGUUACUUUCAUAAUUUUGCACUUUUUAUGACUUUUUCCUCAACUAAUUUACACUAUAUUAAGUGAAGAGCAGCAUUCUCAAGCUGCAAAGAAUCAGUUGAACAACUUUCUGGAUAUUUGUACAUUUUAUGAAUAAUGAUGCAUAUUUUUUACCGUUAUAUUAGGAUUGCAAUUAAUAGCAUGCAGAUAGCAUCGUAGUGGCUGGGGCAUCCAAGACGACGUUUGGUUGAGUUCAAGUGAAUCCAGACUUCUAAGCGAAAUGCCCCACGUUUGUCAUCCCUGUUUAAUUGUUAUUUGAGGCUCCUUAAACACGUUUAUUUACCAUUUUUUUUUUGUUCGAGUUUUAAAUCAGGACAAGCUGUGUUUAUCUGAGAUGCUUUUUCCGCCUUGUGUGCAGGACCAGAUGUGCUUUUUGAGAAGAAGCACCAUUAAUAAGUGACAAGGGCCCAUUGCAAGAAGAUAUCUGAAGUACCCUCUUUUAGCACGUUCUUCUCUUAUGCCAGCGAUUGGGCACCUUUUUAUGUUCUAUGAAUUGAUGUUGAUUUUGUGACUAUACACAUGGCUAGUUGUUUAGUGUUUUUUUUCUUUUAACUAUGCACUGCUUGCUAAUGAAUAAAAUCUGAGGAAAGAUGUGAGAUUUCUCAUUCCAUCAUUGAUGACAUAGUUGAUUUCUGAUUUAUGAUACAUCUAUGUUAGUGAGGAAUGAAUUUGGAGGUUAUAAUUCGUGCUAUAUCCUUAUAUGCGUGGCCUACCACUAGAUG
rnacentral:misc_RNA from 1 species